AAGGAAUCAUGUGACUGACGGAAGUGGGCUGACCACAGGGAGCAUGAUCGAUAAAAAGCCGACCGUCUGGGCAAAUGAG
rnacentral:ncRNA from 2 species